rnacentral:lncRNA from 1 species
GAGUCCCCAGGAACACUGACCCCAGUGUGGACAACUGAAAUGAGGGACCUGUGAACAUUAUUAAAAGUUUAAAAUUAAUUAAAGGCCCAUUUUACAUUGCAGAAAAAGGCAGAACACAUUGCUGAGAGCACCUGGCCUCCUCUCCCCUCCCGGCAGCUCCAUCUGGGUAAGAGGCCUCGCGAGGCUGAGUGGGUGAGCCAUGGAAGGCCCUGGUCAUUCUGCCUCAUGGAUGAUUCAAAUAUCUGAUUGUCUUUCAGGUUUUCUUGAGUGCUGAAGACCAACCUUGGAAAGUACCAGGUGAUGGAGCUGAAAACUGGAACAGCCUUGAGACUUCUCUUAACACGUGUUUUGCAUGGGAAGGCAGAAGAAGAGUGUGCUGGAGGAAAGGAAGUCAGGGAAGGACCAGGAGGGAUUACCCAGAGGUAAAGUGGAUCUAUUGUUUCCCAUAAUCAUGCAAUUGCAAUUUGUACUUUACAACCAAUUGACAGAGAUCAUGAAAUCUGAAAUCACAGACGCUUUAUUAGAGCGUAGAAUUGAAGCCUAGGCUGCGUUUUUCAUAGACGCUCUUACGGAGUGACUUUUAAUCUGAAGAUUCUCUAGUUAAUGUGAUUUGGGACCAGCGUUGGUUUAUGGUUUCAAACUGGCAUUUAAUUCGGUGGACUUUCCUAACUUGACAUCUAAUAUUUUAAAGAAUAA